AUUGAACGCUGGCGGCAUGCCUAACACAUGCAAGUCGAACGGCAGCAUGAAUAUGGGUAACCAUAUUUGAUGGCGAGUGGCGGACGGGUGAGUAAUAUGUAGGAAUCAACCUAGAGGAGGGGGAUAACUUGGGGAAACCCAAGCUAAUACCACAUAAGCCCUACGGGGGAAAGCAGGGGAUCGAAAGACCUUGCGCCUUAUGAUGAGCCUACAUCGGAUUAGCUAGUUGGUGGGGUAAAGGCCUACCAAGGCGACGAUCCGUAGCUGGUCUGAGAGGAGCGUCAGCCACAUUGGGACUGAGACACGGCCCAGACUCCUACGGGAGGCAGCAGUGGGGAAUAUUGGACAAUGGGCGAAAGCCUGAUCAAGGAAUGCCGAGUUGGUGAAGAAGGCAUUAGGGUUGUAAAGCACUUUCAGUAGGGAGGAAGGGUGUAAUGCGAAUAUCAUUGCACAUUGACGUUACCUACAGAAGAAGCACCGGUUAACUCUGUGCCAGACGCCGCCGUAA
rnacentral:rRNA from 1 species